CAAAUUAUUGUAAGCUUUACCUACUGUUAUGAGCAAUGGGUUGUUUUUAGUUGUUAGUACAAAGACAUGACUGCAGUUGCUUACAUAAAUAAUAGAGACUUUUUUUUUUUUUUUUCCUUAGGAAAAACCUAGAAGUAGCCCAGGGACAUCCACAGGUUCAUCAGUGACUUCCUUUCUGUUACACCAUCCUUGGCAUGUAGCAUCCCUCCUUAAGUUUACCUCAUGGUCAAAAACGGCUGCUGCAACCCUUGCAAUCUUGUUUGUAUUUGAGGGUGGAUUCUUAUUCAACAAAACCCUCGAAAUGACUCAGCUGUCAAUUAGAAAAGAAAGGAACAAUUGGAAAGGAGGAGGAGGAUGA